UCGGCCCGGCCCUUUCGUUGCCGCCUUCGCCUUCGCCUUCCGCGCGAGGCCUGCCCUGGGCCUAAGCCCGGCGGGUUUGCGGAAACCGCCCUAGGCGAGACGGAGCCCACUCUUCCUAGGCAGGAGGACUGCAAGGACCCGACGGAGGAGAGCGGGAGAAAGCCCAGCCUAGCGCUGCUAAACCGGGGCCUGUGUGAGAGAAAAGCCUUCCUGAGGAGAAAGCGCACGGGAGCAAACGCAACGCGCUGUACCUGACGAGUAUUUCAGGCCCGUGCUUAAUUGGGGUCCAUAAAGGUAGAGCAGCAUGUUUGUAGUAAUGUUCAAAUACCGUAGUUGCACAGACCAGGUUAGUGGUAUCAUUAAAAAAGAAAAAGAUGGCCCGAGCGAGAAGAAUAGAAAAGAAAUGAAAUACACAUACGUAAUUUAAGUCUCUGCCCUUGCGGAAAAUUUCACAUUCAGCUGGAAACUAAAUAUAACUCAGCGUGUCGUCUCAUAUGUAACCAAAGCAAAUACUGAGUAUUCAUUACAUAUGUAAAUGAGAUAACAGCUAUACCUAAAGAACAUUUCUGAUCUGCCCCAAAAAUUGAAACCUAUUUGCAAUUACAAGGUUAUGUCCCUGUGGUGUUAUAACUUUUCUUUCCGGUUCAGUGCUCAGAGAAUUGGGCUAGUAUUUAGCAAAAACAUGAAAGAAUAUUUUAAUACUAAACAGUCUAAUCGUGGUUAGAGCCUGUAUUACAGAUGUAAAGAGGGGCUAGACUUAGCAGGAAGCUUAAAAUAGGUGUACAUGACCUGAGUGAGAUGGUAUGUUGUAAUCGGCGGCAGUGUGUAAAUCUGUUCAGUUUACAGAUUGAGACUGACCAGAAUUGCAAUCCGUGUGUGUGUGUGUGUCCCAAUGUACCCGGGAUUGAACUCAGGAGCUUUUGCUUGCAAGGCAGGCGCGGUGCCACAACUACAUCCCCAGCCAUUGCUACUUAUUUAAAUAUGAUCUUGGACAAAUUUCGUGUUUCCACUUCCUCCUUGUAAGAGUGCUUGUAACACCUAAUGAAUAUAAAAUGCUUGGCUUAGUGCUCUUUCCUCAAUAGUACACAGUAAAGUAUUUUACUGCUCUUGUUAUGAAGAUUUAGAUAAGCAGAGGAGGCCCAAAGAAGAGGGAAUACUUAAAAGACAGAAAAUUCAUGCAGUAUGUAUUUUCUUUUCAGAAAAGACUGCAUAUCAGAAGUUGAUUAAAUCGAGAGGGGCAGAGUGUGAAAAUUAGCAUUCAAAGAAGCUUGAGUGUUCUUUCCUUUCUCAAUCCUCGCUCCCGGACUCAGGCGUGUACGUGUUGUGACGGCUGGACUGCCACAAGUGGCGCCGGAACAGGAACCUGAAGAACAGGGACUUGAAGAACAGGGACCUGAGUAUCGAGGGAUUCAGUGAAGGACACCGCUGGAUAAAGAAUAAAAGGAGAUCUCG